rnacentral:tRNA from 1 species
UUCACGGUGGCCGAGCGGUUAGAGGCGUUGGCCUGCAAAGCUUAAUAUGCAUUGUAGAACUGGGUUCAAUUCCCAGUCUAGAGG